UAUGUAGGGGGCAAGCGUUGUCCGGAUUUAUUGGGCGUAAAGAGCGUGUAGGCGGCCAUACAGGUCAGCUGUGAAAACUCGAGGCUCAACCUCGAGACGUCGGUUGAAACCGUAUGGCUAGAGUCCGGAAGAGGAGAGUGGAAUUCCCGGUGUAGCGGUGAAAUGCGCAGAUAUCGGGAAGAACACCCGCGGCGAAGGCGGCUCUCUGGGACGGUACUGACGCUGAGACGCGAAAGCGUGGGGAGCGAACAGG
rnacentral:rRNA from 1 species